AGGCGAUAAAGGCAAACCUGUCGAAAGACAGGGACGCAAAGCCACAAAUCUAAGGUUCGGAAGGAACUACGAUGGUUGGGCUGCCGCC
rnacentral:ncRNA from 1 species